rnacentral:rRNA from 1 species
GACGAACGCUGGCGGCGUACUUAAUGCAUGCAAGUCGAGCGGGGUCCAAGGGGAGGCAACACCCCUGAAGACCUAGCGGCGAACGGGUGCGUAACACGUGAGCAACCUGCCCCGAAGUCUGGGAUAACACCGGGAAACCGGUGCUAAUACCGGAUGCCCCCACCGGACCGCAUGAUCUGGUGGGGAAAGAUUUAUCGCUUCGGGAGGGACUCGCGGGCUAUCAGCUUGUUGGUGGGGUAAUGGCCUACCAAGGCAUCGACGGCUAGCUGGUCUGAGAGGACGACCAGCCACACUGGGACUGAGACACGGCCCAGACUCCUACGGGAGGCAGCAGCAGGGAAUAUUGCGCAAUGGGCGAAAGCCUGACGCAGUAACGCCGCGUGGGGGAUGAAGGCCCUCGGGUUGUAAACCCCUUUCAGCAGGGACGAAAUUGACGGUACCUGCAGAAGAAGCACCGGCCAACUACGUGCCAGCAGCCGCGGUAACACGUAGGUGCGAGCGUGUCCGGAUUCU